AAAUAAGAUGCCUGAAAAUUAAAGGAUUAUUUUGAUGUAAUAAAUUAUGUAAAAUAUUUACUCUUAUU
rnacentral:tRNA from 1 species